rnacentral:rRNA from 1 species
CUGAUGCAGCGACGCCGCGUGAGGGAUGACGGCCUUCGGGUUGUAAACCUCUUUCAGUAGGGAAGAAGCGAAAGUGACGGUACCUGCAGAAGAAGCGCCGGCUAACUACGUGCCAGCAGCCGCGGUAAUACGUAGGGCGCAAGCGUUAUCCGGAAUUAUUGGGCGUAAAGAGCUCGUAGGCGGUUUGUCGCGUCUGCCGUGAAAGUCCGGGGCUCAACUCCGGAUCUGCGGUGGGUACGGGCAGACUAGAGUGAUGUAGGGGAGACUGGAAUUCCUGGUGUAGCGGUGAAAUGCGCAGAUAUCAGGAGGAACACCGAUGGCGAAGGCAGGUCUCUGGGCAUUAACUGACGCUGAGGAGCGAAAGCAUGGGGAGCGAACAGGAUUAGAUACCCUGGUAGUCCAUGCCGUAAACGUUGGGCACUAGGUGUGGGGGACAUUCCACGUUUUCCGCGCCGUAGCUAACGCAUUAAGUGCCCCGCCUGGGGAGUACGGCCGCAAGGCUAAAACUCAAAGGAAUUGACGGGGGCCCGCACAAGCGGCGGAGCAUGCGGAUUAAUUCGAUGCAACGCGAAGAACCUUACCAAGGCUUGACAUGGGCCGGAUCGCCGCAGAAAUGUGGUUUCCCCUUUGGGGCCGGUUCACAGGUGGUGCAUNNNUGUCGUCAGCUCGUGUCGUGAGAUGUUGGGUUAAGUNNNGCNNCGAGCGCAACCCUCGUUCUAUGUUGCCAGCGCG